UACGUAGGGGGCAAGCGUUAUCCGGAUUUACUGGGUGUAAAGGGAGCGUAGACGGCUGUGCAAGUCUGAAGUGAAAGGCAAGGGCUCAACCUUUGGACUGCUUUGGAAACUGUGCAGCUAGAGUGUCGGAGAGGCAAGUGGAAUUCCUAGUGUAGCGGUGAAAUGCGUAGAUAUUAGGAGGAACACCAGUGGCGAAGGCGGCUUGCUGGACGAUGACUGACGUUGAGGCUCGAAAGUGUGGGUAUCGAACA
rnacentral:rRNA from 1 species